UACACAGCGCCGAUGGCCACGGGGCGGCCAUCCAUGCCCCUGGCGCCCUACAAGGCCGCUCCCUCCCUCCUCCUGAACCCUAGCCCCACUCAUUUUUUCCCUCGCCCUCUCCCUCGCAUCUCACUCUCAAUCCCGAGCUCGCCGUCGACACGCCAUCGCCUUUAACGCGCUCUUGAAGCACCCCGAGCCACGCGGGCUUGUCCACCAAGACCUCCACGGUUGGCUACUUCUCCUACGACCGUCGAAUCAAGCGGACUCCAUGGCGUCAUCGGGAUCGCCGUCUUCUUCUUCCUCCGGACGUCGAGCUCCGCCGCUUCGAUCCGUCUCCGCCAAGGCUUCCCCGAGCCUGCUGACUAGCCCGUUGUCCCCGCAAUGACGGAUCCCAGGAGCCAGACGACACCACUGAUGACUACUGCUACCCCAAGGAUGCCUACUACUACGUGUCGGCCGCUGAUGACUUGGAGUAGUUAGGAGGCUCCCAGGCAGGAGGCCUAUCCUUUUCGAUCGAUGUUGCUUUUGUGCUAGCCUUCUUAAGGCAAACUUGUUUAAAUCAUGUAUGUACUCAGAUAUUGUUGCUUCCGCUGACUCUUGUGUAUUCGAGCCCUCGAGGCCCCUGGCUUGUAAUAUAAAGCUUGUA
rnacentral:rRNA from 1 species